AAAAUAACAUAAUAGAUAACUGAUCCUCUGUCAUUGCCAUAUAACAUGUCUGGCACUGCGACGUAAUGUAGUUACAAACAUCUUCAUACUACACCAAUUAUAGUUAACUCUUCAUAUCUUUGUACCCUUUGGUGUUCCCGAUGCGUAGAGAAACACGAGUGAUAUGUUUGUUGUAAGAUUCCUUUUCUUAACAACUUAUCGUCCAACACACAAACUCGGUUUCGGUACAAGUAUAUCCUGCUCAGAGCUGUAUGAUAUCCAAUACUCCCAAUCUCGAUCUGUUCAACCAAUCCAGAAUGCUAACUUGUGCUUG
rnacentral:lncRNA from 1 species